rnacentral:rRNA from 1 species
GCAGUCGUACGCUUCUUUUUUCCACCGGAGCUUGCUUCCACCGGAAAAAGAAGAGUGGCGAACGGGUGAGUAACACGUGGGUAACCUCGCCCAUCAGAAGGGGAUAACACUUGGAAACAGGUGCUAAUACCGUAUAACAAUCGAAACCGCAUGGUUUUGAUUUGAAAGGCGCUUUCGGGUGUCGCUGAUGGAUGGACCCGCGGUGCAUUAGCUAGUUGGUGAGGUAACGGCUCACCAAGGCCACGAUGCAUAGCCGACCUGAGAGGGUGAUCGGCCACAUUGGGACUGAGACACGGCCCAAACUCCUACGGGAGGCAGCAGUAGGGAAUCUUCGGCAAUGGACGAAAGUCUGACCGAGCAACGCCGCGUGAGUGAAGAAGGUUUUCGGAUCGUAAAACUCUGUUGUUAGAGAAGAACAAGGAUGAGAGUAACUGUUCAUCCCUUGACGGUAUCUAACCAGAAAGCCACGGCUAACUACGUGCCAGCAGCCGCGGUAAUACGUAGGUGGCAAGCGUUGUCCGGAUUUAUUGGGCGUAAAGCGAGCGCAGGCGGUUUCUUAAGUCUGAUGUGAAAGCCCCCGGCUCAACCGGGGAGGGUCAUUGGAAACUGGGAGACUUGAGUGCAGAAGAGGAGAGUGGAAUU